rnacentral:rRNA from 1 species
AGAGUUUGAUCCUGGCUCAGAUUGAACGCUGGCGGCAGGCCUAACACAUGCAAGUCGAGCGGCAGCGGGAAAGUAGCUUGCUACUUUUGCCGGCGAGCGGCGGACGGGUGAGUAAUGCCUGGGGAUCUGCCCAGUCGAGGGGGAUAACUACUGGAAACGGUAGCUAAUACCGCAUACGCCCUACGGGGGAAAGCAGGGGACCUUCGGGCCUUGCGCGAUUGGAUGAACCCAGGUGGGAUUAGCUAGUUGGUGAGGUAAUGGCUCACCAAGGCGACGAUCCCUAGCUGGUCUGAGAGGAUGAUCAGCCACACUGGAACUGAGACACGGUCCAGACUCCUACGGGAGGCAGCAGUGGGGAAUAUUGCACAAUGGGGGAAACCCUGAUGCAGCCAUGCCGCGUGUGUGAAGAAGGCCUUCGGGUUGUAAAGCACUUUCAGCGAGGAGGAAAGGUCAGUAGCUAAUAUCUGCUGGCUGUGACGUACUCGCAGACGA